CUCUACAGCUAUAAUGCCCUGAACAAGCUUGAUCUCAUUGGAUCUCAGAAGCUAAGCAGGGUGGGGCCUGGUUAGGACUUGGAUGGGAGACAACUGAAGAAUCUCAGUGCUAACUCAC
rnacentral:rRNA from 1 species